rnacentral:rRNA from 1 species
UACAGAGGUCUCAAGCGUUUGUUCGGAUUCAUUGGGCGUAAAGGGUGCGUAGGCGGCGCGGUAAGUCGGGUGUGAAAUCUUGGAGCUUAACUCCGAAAACUGCAUUCGAUACUGCCGUGCUUGAGGACUGGAGAGGAGACUGGAAUUUACGGUGUAGCGGUGAAAUGCGUAGAUAUCGUAAGGAAGACCAGUGGCGAAGGCGGGUCUCUGGACAGUUCCUGACGCUGAGGCACGAAGGCCAGGGGGAGCAAAACGGGG